AUUCUUUGUGUAUAUGUGUGUGUGUGUGUGUGUGUAUACACACACACACACACACACACACACACACACAGACAUACACACACACAGUGAGUCU